GAUGAACGCUGGCGGCGUGCCUAAUACAUGCAAGUCGAGCGAACAGACGAGGAGCUUGCUCCUCUGACGUUAGCGGCGGACGGGUGGGUAACACGUGGAUAACCUACCUAUAAGACUGGGAUAACUUCGGGAAACCGGAGCUAAUACCGGAUAAUAUAUUGAACCGCAUGGUUCAAUAGUGAAAGACGGUUUUGCUUUCACUUAUAGAUGGAUCCGCGCCGCAUUAGCUAGUUGGUAAGGUAACGGCUUACCAAGGCAACGAUGCGUAGCCGACCUGAGAGGGUGAUCGGCCACACUGGAACUGAGACACGGUCCAGACUCCUACGGGAGGCAGCAGUAGGGAAUCUUCCGCAAUGGGCGAAAGCCUGACGGAGCAACGCCGCGUGAGUGAUGAAGGUCUUCGGAUCGUAAAACUCUGUUAUUAGGGAAGAACAAAUGUGUAAGUAACUAUGCACGUAUUGACGGUACCUAAUCAGAAAGCCACGGCUAACUACGUG
rnacentral:rRNA from 1 species